GGGACGAACGCUGGCGGCGUGCUUAACACAUGCAAGUCGAGCGAGGCCCCUUCCUUCGGGAGGGGAGCCCUAGCGGCGAACGGGUGAGUAACACGUGGGCAAUCUGCCCCUAGCACUGGGAUAACUCCGGGAAACCGGGGCUAAUACCGGAUAUGACCUCCGAGGGCAUCCUCUGGAGGUGGAAAGGAUUCUGGCUAGGGAUGAGCCCGCGGCCUAUCAGCUAGUUGGUGGGGUAAUGGCCCACCAAGGCGACGACGGGUA
rnacentral:rRNA from 1 species